AACGAACGCUGGCGGCAGGCCUAACACAUGCAAGUCGAGCGAGGACUUCGGUCCUAGCGGCGGACGGGGGGGUGACGCGUGGGAACGUGCCCUUUGCUUCGGAAUAGCCCUGGGAAACUGGGAUUAAUACCGGAGGAGCCCUUUGGGGGAAAGAUUUAUCGGCGAAGGAUCGGCCCGCGUUGGAUUAGGUAGUUGGUGGUGUAAUAGCCUACCAUGCCGACGAUCCUUAGCUGGUUUGGGAGGAUGAUCAGCCACACUGGGACUACGACACGGACCAGACUCCUACGGAAGGGAGCAGUGGGGAAUCUUAGACGAUGGGGGAAGCCCUGACCUAGCCAUGCCGCGUGAGCGAUGAAGGCCUUAGGGUUGUAAAGCUCUUUGAGCUGGGAAGAUAGUGACGGUACCAGCAGAAGAAGCCCCGGCUAACUACGUG
rnacentral:rRNA from 1 species